GGCGACCGGCGCACGGGUGAGUAACGCGUAUGCAACCUACCUUAUACUGGGGGAUAGCCCAGAGAAAUCUGGAUUAAUACCGCAUAACAAUGUUUUAUCGCAUGGUAAGAUAUUUAAAACUCCGGUGGUAUAAGAUGGGCAUGCGUAGCAUUAGUUAGUUGGUGAGGUAACGGCUCACCAAGACAAUGAUGCUUAGGGGGUCUGAGAGGAUAUCCCCCACACUGGUACUGAGACACGGACCAGACUCCUACGGGAGGCAGCAGUGAGGAAUAUUGGUCAAUGGACGAAAGUCUGAACCAGCCAUGUCGCGUGCAGGAUGACGGCCCUAUGGGUUGUAAACUGCUUUUUUACAGGAAUAAUUGUCGAUACGUGUAUCGAUUUGAAUGUACUGUAUGAAUAAGGAUCGGCUAACUCCGUGCCAGCAGCCGCGGUAAUACGGAGGAUUCGAGCGUUAUCCGGAUUUAUUGGGUUUAAAGGGUCCGUAGGCGGUCUUUUAAGUCAGUGGUGAAAUCCCAGAGCUCAACUCUGGAACUGCCAUUGAAACUGAAAGACUUGAAUAUGGUUGAGGUAGGCGGAAUACGUUAUGUAGCGGUGAAAUGCAUAGAUAUAACGUAGAACACCAAUUGCGAAGGC
rnacentral:rRNA from 1 species